UACGAAGGGGGCGAGCGUUGUUCGGAAUUACUGGGCGUAAAGGGCGCGUAGGCGGCCCCUUUUGUCGCGUGUGAAAGCCCCGGGCUCAACCUGGGAGGUGCGCGCGAAACGGGGGGGCUUGAGUUCGGGAGAGGAGCGUGGAAUUCCCAGUGUAGAGGUGAAAUUCGUAGAUAUUGGGAAGAACACCGGUGGCGAAGGCGGCGCUCUGGACCGAGACUGACGCUGAGGCGCGAAAGCGUGGGGAGCGAACAGG
rnacentral:rRNA from 1 species